CUGGAAUUGUGGGAGAGUAUUUUUGUAACAGCUGUUCAGCAGCCUCAAACCUCCCCUGUUGGUGGUGGGGGAGAGUGCUCCCUAUUAAAGCCAAGCAAGAAGGGCAACAGCAAGCGGCAUGGGGAGCUUGUUAUGUGCGAAGGUCAAAGUAGCCUAUGAGCAGACCAAACUCCCCUCCAAUCCUGGCCAAAUGUGGUAAGUCCUGAGGACCCAAUGUUCAACUUGUCCCCGAGAGAAUUAGUGUGAGGUCAUUUUAAACAAGACUGGAGUCCUAAAGAAGACCUGACUUGAUGGUAUAAGGGGAAUCAGGAGUAAGCGCUACAGGAGAUGGGGUAGAGCUAAACGCGGGAACCAGGAGGGCAAGUGCAGAAACUGAUAACGCUUACUUACAUCAAGAGAAGGGCAGGUGAUGUCUGUAACAGGUCUGAACUUUCUCCAGGAGAGACAGAGUCAUCUUUAACCCUCUGCUAGAACGUCUAGUCCAGAGAAAGCAAAGCCAGCUUACAACGGUAUCAGUCAUGAAAGAACUUUCCUUACUUCUUUCUGCAACCCCAGUGGGGUCUCUGAUGGCAGCUGGACAGUGGAGGAGGAACCACAAGAGGAGCAGAGAAGGAGCCAGUGGACAGGGUUGCUUUCUUCAAGGAAUCCUGAUGGAGAGCUGGACUUCAAAUGUCUUCUUCCUUGGGAAUACCAUGAAUAGGGAGCAACAGCAAAACAAAAAAACAUGAGUGGGUAUAUAAGAACAAGUGAGAGAAGACAAACAGCAAAUAGGUGUCUGGAGUUAGGAAGGUGUCCACGAGCACUAGGAAAGUUCAAAGGCUGGAAGGUCACUGGAGAGCCUGGGCAAGAAAGACUCAUAUGGAGAAGGAAGCACAGACAUCUAAAAAAGAAGAGGACAUGACUUCUUCCCACUUCUAAAUUAUUUUACAAUUAGUCUGACUUCCUUUGAAUAAUAGGCAAAGGUCAACUUAAACUUCCCUCUAUUGCCUCACCACUCUCCAACCUCCUCACUGCCUCCACCCCAACUCUACAGAGGAAAAUCCCUGAUGUGGCUCCAGACCGAUGGCACUAGUAUGUCCCACCACCAAGCCAGGGUUGGGAGUGGAAGAUAAGGGUGGGGUGGAGAGUCUUCCAGAGUGACUGAAAAGGAUGUUUACAUCUCAAGUGUACCUGAGGCACACUCCCAUUAAAAUCUCACAUUUGGCUAUUAUUCUUUGGGCCCCUGCCUUUCUUUCUCCCAUGAGGCUAAUGUGAUAGGAAGGGCACGGGAUUUCUUCCAUAUUUAAGAAGGCAACUCUAACCUCUGUUCAGGUUAAGAUCCAGGAAAAUAAAGGCAGUGGUCAUGUCA
rnacentral:lncRNA from 1 species